CACAGUUCCUCACCUGAAGAAAAUGGGCAAGACAGGCUUUAUUUGAAAUGCAGGAAACUACAAAAGCCCAGUAGUGGGAUUGGAAGCAAAUCCUGGGCAGCUGGUUUUAGGACUUGGAAGAUGAGUAAGUCACAGGGCAGAAGACCACCAAGGCACUGCAGAAAUUUCAGGACCCAAAACUAUCAAUUACAGAAGGGAAAAGGUCAAGAGCUGGACCAAAAGUUGCCUAUUACUGACUGAAUACAGAGGAUGAAUGGUUUUAUUCUGAGAUCCUGAAAGCUGAAGGAUUUGGUGAACUUUUCAGGAUAGAAAAAAAAAAUCCUUUAUUCAUGCAGCUGUAGCAAGGCAAGGGACAGCUGGGUAGCUGAUGGGAGGAAACAUGAUCAAGUCUUUCUCAAGAGAUGCUGCAGCUGAUGUACUUCAAGGUCUAUUAUGCCAUAGCUGUUUUCUUUGUCCUUCCCUAUAAAACAAAAGGAUACAUGUAUGCUUCUUUUGUUUCUUUUUGUUCCUCCUGCAAACUAUCCAUAUAUCCAUAUGCUAAACGCAGGGAUGUGGUAGCGGACCUUGGGCUCUACUCUUGUAAACCAAGUACCAGAUGUCAUGGACCAACUGUGACAGAAGCCUUCACAUGUAUUUAGAUACAGCUUUAAGUAGAAACUGAUGUUUAUACAAAGUAUAAACAGUUCAAAAGACUGAAAUAACAUGAAGAAAUCCCAGAUGAUCUUUAAAACAGCUGGACAUUUCACACUCCUUCAGAAACCCAGAUAUUAACAGGGCAACUGGUAGAACAGUACCUCUGUUCAGGUUCUAGUAGGAUAUCCAGAAGUUUUUUUGAUUUAUGUAAUAAAUGGCCUUGAAAUAGAAAUCAGGUCCAAAAUAUGCAAUUGAAUCCAGAUAAAAAGGCUGAGCCUGUCAUUUUCC